CUCCGUGAGAGAGAAAGAGAACACUGGAUUGGACGAUCUUGAGUGAGGUUGAUAUGACGACGGUUGAGUCAAAGAAGUUGAGGAGUGGGGAGUCAUUUCAGUUUGGGCAACGCAAGAAUACGGAAUUCGCUGUGCCUUUCACUGCAUGCGUGCAUGUCAAAUUCCUCAUAGUGCUUUGGUGCUAGGGUACAAAAAGUGGCGAAACAUCAUCGCUCCCGAUAUAUGUAUGUAUAUGUACACAUCUCAAGCCAUGC